UUUUAUCAAAUGCAUCCAGUUAAAAUCUGAAAGGUAGAGUAAUAAUUUGGACCUUGGUGAAUGUACAUGCUGGACAAAGAUCUCAGUGAUUUACAUUCCUUUUGUAAUGCAUUGUAUGCUACAAACUGAUGGUUUCAGCUGCACCGCUCACCUUCUGUUACAGCAAAAAAGGCAGUUAGUGAAAACAUGCCAUCAGCAACUGAAGUUUAAAAAAGAGAACUCCCCAGCCUUGAUUCUCCCUCUUGCAGGAAGGAAAAAGAAGCUUACCCACAGCUGACAUAACCAAAUGUGUCUGCAGGGAACACGCAGUUAAGUCUUUUGUAGGUCGUGUUAGUGAGAAGAAUUCUGUUAUUUCCAAGAAUGAUGACAGUAGGAGAAAAUGGAAGAUGCAGAUGUUGUGUAUCUCUGCAUAAAGGAGAAAAACAUCUGUCGGGCCAAAGCUGAUGGAAAGCUGAAAAUGUAUAGCAGCAAUACAGUGCUCUCCCCUGAAUAGUGUUCCAGUCCGGAAAACACAUAAUGUGCAAUAAAUCCAAGAUAGCUUAUUGAUCCAGUGACUGCAACACCAACAGUCGGUCGAAAAUAUUUUGCCUGCAGUUCCUGAGAACUCUCCAAAAAUGCUGUAAAUGAUUACAGAAAAUCCUUCCCUUGCACCAAAGGUCGUUUCAGGACAUGUGCACUUCAGUACUAUUUGACUUGUGCCAAGUUCCUGUAUUUAAAAAAUGGAGGCAACAAGCUUCAGCAGUUGGACUGGAUGAAGAAAUUCUUGACAAGAUCUGCUCUUCAAUGGAUGUGGGACGAUAAUGCUGAGUCAAUUGUAUCCUGUUACUCAAUCCUGAACUAGAGAGGUAAAUGGAGUGAGCAGCAGCAGUUUUGCCUUUCUGACGCUGGCUACUUCUGAAAAUGUAAGUCUUAAAACUUGCUUACUCUUUCAUGAACUUUGUGCUCUGUACUUAUUUUGAGA